rnacentral:piRNA from 1 species
UUCUCGCCAGUAUAGGCGACACGGGAGC